CAACUACUCCCUCUGUCCCAAAUUUCUUGUCUUAGAUUUGUCUAGAUACGGAUGUAUCUAAUACUAAAAUGUGACUUGAUACAUCCGUAUCUAGACAAAUCUAAGACAAGAAUUUUGGGACGAAGGGAGUACUUU
rnacentral:pre_miRNA from 1 species